rnacentral:rRNA from 1 species
AUUGAACGCUGGCGGCAUGCUUUACACAUGCAAGUCGAACGGUAACAGGCCGCAAGGUGCUGACGAGUGGCGAACGGGUGAGUAAUGCAUCGGAACGUGCCCAGUCGUGGGGGAUAACUACUCGAAAGAGUAGCUAAUACCGCAUACGAUCUAUGGAUGAAAGCGGGGGACCGUAAGGCCUCGCGCGAUUGGAGCGGCCGAUGUCAGAUUAGGUAGUUGGUGGGGUAAAGGCUCACCAAGCCAACGAUCUGUAGCUGGUCUGAGAGGACAACCAGCCACACUGGGACUGAGACACGGCCCAGACUCCUACGGGAGGCAGAAGUGGGGAAUGUGGGACAAUGGGCGCAAGCCUGAGCCAGCAAUGCCGCGUGCAGGAAGAAGGCCUUCGGGUUGUAAACUGCUUUUGUACGGAACGAAACGGCUCUGGUUAAGACCCGGGGCUAAUGACGGUACCGUAAGAAUAAGCACCGGCUAACUACGUG